rnacentral:rRNA from 1 species
GACGUAGGGUGCAAGCGUUGUCCGGAUUUAUUGGGCGUAAAGAGCUCGUAGGCGGCUUGUUGCGUCGACUGUGAAAACCCGCGGCUUAACCGCGGGCUUGCAGUUGAUACGGGCAGGCUAGAGUUCGGUAGGGAGACUGGAAUUCCUGGUGUAGCGGUGAAAUGCGCAGAUAUCAGGAGGAACACCGGUGGCGAAGGCGGUUCUCUGGGCCUGUACUGACGCUGAGGAACGAAAGCGUGGGGAGCGAACAGG